GGGUUAAGUCCGCAACGAGCGCAACCCUUAUCUUAAUUGCCAGCAUUCAGUUGGGCACUUUAAAGAGACUGCCGGUGUUAAACCGGAGGAAGGUGGGGAUGACGUCAAGUCCUCAUGGCCUUUAUGCUUAGGGCUACACACGUGCUACAAUGGGUGGUACAAAGAGAAGCCAACUCGCGAGAGCGCGCCAAUCUCAAAAAGCCAUCCUCAGUUCGGAUUGGAGUCUGCAACUCGACUCCAUGAAGUUGGAAUCGCUAGUAAUCGCGGAUCAGCAUGCCGCGGUGAAUACGUUCCCGGGCCUU
rnacentral:rRNA from 1 species